rnacentral:lncRNA from 1 species
UAUCUACAAGUGAGGCCUUGACUGUUUUUAGUACUUCUUGAUGGUAAUUUUAUUAUACAAAAAUGAUCCAAGUGAACUUAAAAGUGAACUUAAAUCACAUUCUCACAAAUGCACAAAUCUAUGGAUAGUCAAUAAGUAUGACAGCUUUAUAGUAAAUUAUGUUGAAAGAAGACAAUUUAUAAUAAUUCAUCCACCUGUACUAUCUUUGUCAUCUCUUAUUCCUGCUAAAAUGCUUUGUGUUUCUACUAUCGCACUUCUACAUUUUGAUAAUUCUCCAUAUUUCUAGGGACUCUUGGCUUCACUUCAUCCAGCCAGCCACAGCCUUUGGCUCAGGCAUGUGAGACACAAACUUUCAGCUUAUUUUAACUUUUUACUCAUGGCCUAUCUAUGCAGUUGUUACAAAACCCUGGGCUUGGGACCUGAUCUCAUUCUGCUUUGGAAUCGUCAGGCAGGUUGGGAUUCACAUGUUUCUUAUGAAAUACAUGCUGCUUUAGAAGCAGCCUUUACCAGUCAAUAUUUUCUAAGGACAAUCUAUCUGUAAUGGUUUUCAGAUAUUAUUUCAUCUAUAUUUUGCAAAAAACAAUUUAAACUCUAUACACUUAUCCCAGAACUGACACCACCACUCAGAGCCUUGGUAUGGCCUGCUGUAUAGGACAGAGCUCAGAACAACUUCCUGAACAAAACACCCAGCUCAUUGUUGCUCAUUUAAUUUUAUGUCCUCCAAGGAUGUCAAAAGCAAAAUGACAAGAAUGAACUAGAGUUUUAUUUAUUUAUUUUGUUUGAUUGUUUGUUUGUUUUAGUGACCUUUUGAUGUCUUUAUUUCUAUAGCUAGUAAUCUGAAUGAUAGAGACCUGUCAGUCAUCUCUAGUACAAACUAAGACAGGUGCUAUGGGUCUCCAGCCCCAGUUCCUAUCCAUCUGGAACUUAUGAGCUUACAACAUUGAACACCUAUGCCUGCAUUUCAACAUUAGAAAAAUGACAGAAAUAACAGUAUUGGACAACCAGGACCCCAGGGGUAUUAAAUGAGUCAAAGUAUGUUCACAUUUCAAAAUAACGCCUGCUUCCUUGUAAGUCACACUACAUAUUAGCUGUUAUUUUUACCACUUUCAUUUGCUCUGUAUUCUCUGUAAAUUCUGCAAGAUUUUUUUAUUUCCCUCAUUUCCUUCAAUACUUCCAGUAUUAUAAUUAUUUGCUAAUUUUUGUAUAUUCUAUGUUAACAGUCUGCUAUUUCAUAUUCUUUUUCAUGAUUUAUCAGAAGAUCUGUCUGAUUUGGUAUAGUGGAUUUCAGAACUAUUGUCUUCAUUGGGAAUGCUUCAUUCCAUGGGACUAGAAUCUCUCAAAAAUUAUACAAUUUAAACAAAACUAAAAAUGAUACUGAACUGUUAUGUACAUAUUUACAUGCAUAUUAAAUAUGUAUUUGUGGGAUGCAAAAUAUUUUGUUACUGAACAACCGUGGAAGGUACUUCUGUGAAAGCAAUUAACCUGAUCAUGUGAUAAUCUUUUGUGUUGGCUAAUCCUAGUUGUUCUAUUUACCACAAAUUAAGUCAGAAGAAUUGAGAUUUUAAAACAAAGAGUUCAGUGCUUAUCUGUUAGUGAAGCAUGAGAAAUCACGGUGGCUUUGGUGAAGAGAUGGUAGGUAGUUCAUGAUUUCCAAUAUCCUUAAGGAAUUGCCUAAUAAGUUGUCUUCCUCAUUUGAACAACACUGCCAUUAUUGGCUCCUACACUGAUGAUGGCAGAAUCCAGUGUAAAUGCCUUGCCUUGUCAUGGCUGGGCUGAGAUAUAACCGUGCCCUCUGUUCAUGCUUAUCUUUGCCUUAUGAAACCAUUACAUCAUCCCGUUUUUCUUGUUCUAUCUCAUAUGUCUUUUGAAAUAUUAUGUAGUCUCACACUCAAGCUAAAAUGACAUCUCUAGUAGGAAAUUACCCUUGAUUUUAUUCAUAUGCUCCCUUCUUCAUAAGUGGGGAAACUUAUUACCAUUAUUUUAUUUAUGCUUAUGUGUCUUGUGUAGCACUUACACGCUGCCUCAACUUUAGCUGUUCUUGAACAUGUUUGAUUUCACUGGGUAUAUUAUCUCUUUGAGUGAAAGGUCAUAUUACUCCCCAGCUAUAAAUACAAUGGAAUUGAAUCUUAUAUAAGUUUUGUUUUAAAGUCAAUAUUUAAAGUUGAAAUUAUACAAUGCCAAAAAAAAAAUGCCCUGAAAAGUUCCUAAGGUAAUAGAGAGCAGGUAUUAUGAAUUACACAACUAUCCUGGGGACUGGUAUUUAGUCUCUAAGAAAGUGCACUAGAAGCUCCCCUUCUGUAUUGUAUCCAGUCACUUUCUUCUUCUUAGCCAUAGAUGAAGAAACUGGAUCUCCUUGAGAAGUCAGUGUUGUGUCGUAUGAAAAGAUCCAUGUGUCAUUAAAUAGGAAAAUCAAAUGCAGCUUAAGGGGAAGCGCAGACCGUGAGAACUGGAAAUGAAUAAGGAAACAUCACUUUAUUUUUCAAAAAUAAAUUAAGAUUUGUUGAUCUAGAGGCAGGUAUUCUAUCAGUGCUAGACUGCUUGCCUUGCAUGGGUGAAGCCAUAGCUUGAUCACCAGAGAAGAGAAUUAAGGUAAUUUUUUUUUCUCAAUUUCUGUCUAGCCACUUACUGAUCAAGGAAUGUGGUUUCUCAAGUUUUACAAGAUUUUAGACACACAUAUAGGAUGACACACACAGGCAUAAAUGGAAAUGUCAGCUAAAAAUAAAUGACUAGCUGAAAUGACUGGCUUAAAUCCUGGAUAAUAGGUGGGCACUUGACAAAAGGAUGUAGAGGCUCAGCACACACCAUUUCCUGAAGAAAUUACCACUGCUAAAAGCACAGACUUUUCCUCAAACAGUCUUCCAUUCAAGCCUGUGCUCUACAGUGGCUUGUGGCUUUUUUUUUUUUUUUUUUUGCAUCAGUUUUAGCACAAGCUAAUGGAGAUUAAAGAGAAUAUUUAUCCUUCAGAGUCUGAAAUGUGAUGUGUAGGGUUUAUCUUAUAGUAGACACCACAGCGUUUAGCUAUUAGUGUCAUUAUUAACUGUUAUAUUUACAAAGUAACUAUCUAUGAGUGAUGGCAUGGCUCUAUUGGAAGGUUAGAAGGAUUCUCUUUGGUGCUUUUGAAUGGCAUUCAGACAUGAAAUGCUUGGUUAUUUAUUUGAAUCAGGGCUGAAAUAUUUGGCUGUUUAAAGGCAGUUCUGGGAAUGAGAAGAAGGGGGCCUCUUUGAAUGAUUUUUGAAGAUGGGUUUUUGAAUUGGGUCUUUCAGGAAUAAGUGACUUCUUUGCCCAUUUUCCAUGAAUUCACAUUUUUUUUUCAUAGUAAACUCUCUUGGAUCUAAUGCAUUUUAAGUACCAUCUCUGAUUUUUAAUAAGUGCAGCCUUUAAGUCUCACUUUCUUUUUAUUUUUUCUUUUCUUUCUUUCUUUUUUUUUGGAUACUUCAGUUUUUUAAAGAAAAUACUAUUUUUUUUAACUUCUUUUUUCUUCUAAGCCCCAAGUCACUCUUUCCAGUAUCAUAAGUCUUCUUAUGACAUUGGAAAUUGACCUUGUAUCUCAUGCUUCACUAACAGACAGUCACUGAGCUCUUUGUUUUAAAAAUCUUAAUUCUCCUGACUUAAUUGGUGGCAAGUAGUACAAUGUUCUGCCUCUCACUUG